UAACUUCCAUAACAUUUAAUAUGUCCGAGCUUAAUAGGUUUAGUUUCUUCUGUUUUUUCGAUGGAAGAAUUGAGAGAGCGAAAUUGUAAAGCAGAAACGAGCAGAGCAGAUUUGAAUCCCAAUUGAACAUGCAAUUUGAAAUCGUUGAAGAUUGUUUGUUCUUCUUUCACUGAAAUCAUUUUUUUUUUGAAUCUGUUGUUUUUUCUUCAUCAGAUUUAUAAGCUGAAUCUUAUUAUAAAUUCAUGAUUUGAAACGAAUUUGUUCUUCAUUGGAUCAGAAAAUGUUUGUUCAGAAUAAUUGUUCUUCAACAAGAACCUAAAGUUGGUAGUUGUUCGGCGUCUAAAUUAGCAAUCUAUUUUGCUCAGAGAAAUCCAUUUUUCAACUCAAAUCAGAAGUUGUGGAUGAAUCAUUGAAUCUCAAGAUCUAUCUCAGUUUUCUUUAGCGUUUAAUUUCAUUCCAGAGAUCUUACGAAGAUCGAUUCACUAUUUGAUUUGAUUUCUUCUAAUUAUUUGAUUUAUUCAAGUUCAAUCUCGAAAACGGGAAUUUGACCUUAAGAGUACAUAAGAAAUUAACAAAUGGAAAGGUUUUGAGAAGGAAACUGAUUUGGAGAAGCUUGCUAGUGGUGUUACCAAGAAAACACAAUAUGUUAUUGGGUGCUGGUGGUAGUGGUGAUUACUUGGUUGACGAGCACAAUGACUCUGUCGAGCAGGUUAAUUUGGUUGUUGCAGAGAUUACGUUUUUCAACACAAGCACCUUUGAAAAGUGAUCGGAAACCCUAUACUGCUGAGUGCUUUUUCAAAAGAAAAGGAUGUAACUGAAGUUCGCAAGAAGUGUAGGUGUAGUAGAUUACAUUUCGAUUUAAUGCUGGAAAUCCCCAUUGGCCCAUCAUGCACCAAUAUUCCAAAGGCAACCAAGGAUUUCAAACUUCCAAAUGCUUAUGUUGCUAUGAAGUUUUCUAUUUUUUCAGUUUUUGUGAACUCGUUUUAUGUUUUAUGAACUUGUUCUCCAAGUUUUUUAUUUUGUGAACUUCUUUUUUAUUCAACUUGUUAUAUUGUAUCAUCCAAAAAAAAAUAUUUUUUUGUAAGAGUAAAAUUGACUUUAUAUUUUUGUUCCA